AUUGAACGCUGGCGGCAGGCCUAACACAUGCAAGUCGAACGAGUCGCGGACGUGUGAGUAAUGUCUCUGCAACUGCCUGAUGGAGGGGGAUAACUACUGGGCACUGUUGCUACUACCGCAUACCUUCACCUGGGCCCAGAUGGGAUUAGCUAGUUGUUGGGGUAACGGCUAACCAAGGCGACGAUCCCUAGCUGGUCUGAGAGGAUGACCAGACACACUGGAACUGAGACACGGUCCAGACUCCUACGGGAGGCAGCAGUGGGGAAUAUUGGACAAUGGGCGAAAGCCUGAUGCAGCCAUGCCGCGUGUAUGAAGAAGGCCUUCGGGUUGUAAAGUACUUUAAGCGGGGAGGCGUUACCAGCAGAAGAAGCACCGGCUAACUCCGUGCCAGCAGCCGCGGUAAUAC
rnacentral:rRNA from 1 species